AGUGUGCAUUGAAGUUUGACGGUGAAUAUCUUCUGAACAGAGAGGUAUACAAAAAAAUUGUAAGAGACCUUUUUUGGAGAGAAUUCAAUUUCUUACAAAAAUGUGAUACGUUUUUUUUUAUAAAUAGUAAAUACCGAGAUAUGUAUUUCUCUUCCUCACC
rnacentral:lncRNA from 1 species